rnacentral:rRNA from 1 species
GUAUGUAGCAUAAUACCGUUUAAAGCUAUAAUUAGGUGUGAUAGGCUUUUCAAAGGCUACGAUAUCUUGAUAGUACCGAAACGUAUUUAGUACGCAAAACGAAUAUGGAGUGUUUAGGCUCUAUAUAUGCCCAAAGAUAGAUGAGAGCAUUUAAAGGCCUAAUCACCUUUUAUAUAUAAAGAUUAUUAUAAAUGUGUGUACGUUAUGGGGUGUAAAGGUGCUUCUAGUUAAAUUAGGACAUAUAGGGAUAAUGUUUCCAUAAGUAUAAAAACUAGGCGUUAAGAAUGAACUCGGCAAAAAAUGUUCUCAACUGUUUAUCAAAAACAUAGCUAUAUGUGUUUAUAUAUAGUUAUUUCUGCUCAAUGUUUAAUAAAUAGCCGCAGUACCUUGACUGUGCAAAGGUAGCAUAAUCAAUUGGCUUAUAAUUGAAGUCUAGAAUGAACGAGAAAAUGGGGACAGACUAUAUUAUAUAUGCCUCUAUAAAUUACUUAAUAAGUGAAAAGUCUUAUAGUUAAAUAAUAGACGAGAAGACCCUAGAAAUUUUAAGACUACGUUAAACUAAGGUUUUUGUUGGGGCGACACAGUAGCAUUAGAACCUACUAAGCAGCAUGGGAAAGUUUUAUCAGGUGUAAUUAAAUUACUCUAGGGAUAACAGCAUAAUAUUUAAAAGUUUGUGACCUCGAUGUUGGACUAGGAAAUUAUAUACCCAGAAGGUUAUUAAUGAGGCUCUGUUCGAGCUAUAUUCUCCUACAUGAUCUGAGUUCAGACCGGCGUAAGCCAGGUCAGUUUCU